AAAUCGUAACAAGGUUUCCGUAGGUGAACCUGCGGAAGGAUCAUUGCAAAUUAUUCCAAGAUCAGCUUGCAUUCUUCGGACUGUAUGUUGAUCCUACGAAUUGCAACCCUUUGUGCGCUGUUGUCGAUGUCGUCAUCCUUUCGGGCUAGGUUCUGUCGUCUCGUUGAGGCCUUUUAAUCAGCCCAGAGGUGACCUUUGUAAAACUCUUGCUUUUUUCCUAGUCUGAAGUUAUCUGAUCUUUUUGAUCAGAGUUUAUGUUUAACAUAAAUGCAACUUUCAACAAUGGAUCUCUUGGCUCUC
rnacentral:misc_RNA from 1 species